AGCCACCCAGGCGCCCCUGUUUCCUGCAUUUUAAAUUCCACUUUUUCCUUCUUCUACUAUGUGCUUCCAUUUUCAGCGUGGUCAUUCAGUGAUCCAGGUUUCCUCCAUUGCGUGACCUCCCAGUCCCCUCAGGCAAUGUCAUCAUCUGCAUGAAUGAGGUGUGGUUGAUCUGGAUUCCAGUAGAAAGGAGGAAUAGAAUAUCGAGGAGGUGAAUUUUCAGGAGGGAGCCCAUGGCCUGGAGAGGACGCUGGUGACCAGGGAAGAGCAGAAGAGUGAAAACUGCUGCCAUUUGCCAUGGCAGACUGCCAUGGGCACAGUGGCUAACUCUGCAGGCGCAGUGAUCAUGACUGAGAAACAGAACCCCACGUGACAGCAGCCCCCUGGGGCAGCUUAGUGGUCACACUAACUCUGGAACUUUAGAAUUCUGGAAGGGUUUCAUUGUCAUUUUUAUCUGGGACCCCAACCAGAUAAUGAAAGUUCCCACUAAAAAAAGAACUUGAAAUGACUAAUAUUUCCAAAGUAUAUAGAAAAUUAAUGAGAAAAGAUUGUGCCCACAGAAGAAGACUCUAGACCCAGGUAAAAGGACAUUCACCUUGCAAAGAGCACACAGAAACAAGUAAACAGACACGGAUACUCCUGGGAUAAUAAAUAACAAUGAAAUGAAUUGGUUAAGAGCUUCCUGGAA